rfam:Methanosaeta concilii GP-6, complete genome.
GCCUCGGUAGCUCAGCUGGUCCAGAGCGAUUGACUUGUAAUCAAUAGGUCGCGUGUUCGAAUCACGCUCGGGGCU